UACGGAGGGUGCAAGCGUUAAUCGGAAUUACUGGGCGUAAAGCGCACGCAGGUGGCUGAGUCAGUCGAUUGUGAAAGCCCUGGGCUUAACCUGGGAAUUGCAGUCGAUACUACUCAGCUAGAGUAUGGGAGAGGGCAGUGGAAUUCCCGGUGUAGCGGUGAAAUGCGUAGAUAUCGUAAGGAAGACCAGUGGCGAAGGCGGGUCUCUGGACAGUUCCUGACGCUGAGGCACGAAGGCCAGGGGAGCAAACGGG
rnacentral:rRNA from 1 species